GAUAAUGCUUUAAUUGAUGAUCGAAGGAUACAUGUUGAUUUCAGCCAGAGUGUUGCAAAGUUGUGGUCCCAAUAUCGACGCAAAGACCAAACGGGUAAAGGAAGAGGUUGCUUCAAAUGUGGUUCUCUUGAUCACAUGGCUAAAGACUGCACUGGUGAUGCCACCAAACAGCAGUCGAACUACAUUCUAAAAGAAGAAGACAACAAGCAGCACGGUGGAGACGGUAACUCAAGGUAUGAGAUGGUAUUUGAUGAAGAUGCUGCUGGAAGUCCAAAAAGAAAUAAGAGGGGAAGAGAAUUUGAAGGUGGAAAACAUUACGAGAAUCAGAAUCCUAAACGUAGAGAACUUGAAGAUGAUGGAGCCAGGAAGGAUAGAAAAAGAGAUGGAUAUGAACGGCAUAGGCUGGAGGAUAGAAGUAAUGAUUAUAGAACUGAAGAGAGGCAUCGUGGAAGUGGGAUGAGAGCAAGUGGAGAGAAGGAAAGGGAUUACAGGGGUCGGAACGAUCUGGAUUAUAGAAGAAACACUAAUUAUGAUAACCGUAAGGCUGGGGGGGAGAGACAAGACCAUGAUAAGAGACCUGCGGAUAACGUGAGGCAUGUGGACAAGGAUUAUCGGGGGGAGAGAGAAAAGAGGGAUCGGAGAGAUGAGGUGGAAUAUGAUGGUGGUCAUGCAGAUGAAGUUAGGUACAAAGACAAUUCACAGAAUAGAGGAAGAGGGGAAGAGCAAGAUAGAGGAAAACGAAGGUCAGAGGGUGAUGAUGCUCGUGCUCGUGACCGUGACCGUGAUCGCUACCGUGAUCAUGACCGUCGUCGUGAUCGACCUCGUGACCAUGAUCGUGGCAGAAGGAAUUAAGUCGGUGAAAAUCAUUCACUUGAGCCUGGAGAACUUGGCUAGAUAAUGAUAUUUCAAUGUAUGAUGUGUUUGUGCUUUGACACUCUUUUUUGGUGUAUGUUGUAUGAAUUAGUCAUUGCACUUCAAAGGCCCGUAAAA
rnacentral:misc_RNA from 1 species